rnacentral:lncRNA from 1 species
CUCUGUUCUCCUCCCAAGUUCUAUGCUCCGGAGGCUUGGCUGAGAUUGCUCUUGGCUCCCAACACCCGGCCAUACAGGAAGCUGACCGGCAGGUUGGGGUCACGGGCUCAGGUACCUCCUCCGCUGGGAGCGACGGCUCCGAGCUGCGGAGCCCGCCGCCGGCAAGGACCACCGACUGCUUUAGGGCGCGGUACUCGCGGUAGAGAGCUGGGUGGGUGGGAGGACGGGAGUCGGGGUCAGGGCGGGGUCCGCAUCACCUCGCUCCCCCUUCCCCCGGCAGGCCGUCCCGCGCUCCGCGGUCCCCGGUAUCGCAUUGCUCACCGCGGACGUCCUCGGGCGCCGCCUCCACGUCUUCCUGUGAAGGGAACGUGUCAGACGGAGGCUGCGCCCUCUAUAGCUCUCCCCUCCCACUACAGCUCGUACCUGGCCGGGCCGCCGCCGGUGCUGCCGCCUGAACCCGCGCUCCCACUCCUGGAGUUGCGUCCGCACGUCCCGCAGCCGCUCCAUAGGGAUCCAGUCCCGCGUCCUGCGAAUCUUCCCGCCACACCAGCGACGUCGGUCUACCAGCCAAUGGAGCUGCGCGGCAGGGCUGGGGCGGGGCCGCUGGGACGGAUGACCAAUCCGCCGGGCCCUGUAGGGUCGACCAAUGGGUCGUGUCUACGUCAUCGCCGCGCGCCGCGGGGCUGGGCGGGGCCGGUGGACAGCCGAGGCGGGGCUGGAGACUGUGGUGGUGGCUCUGGGGUCGGUGAGCGCGGGCCGCGGGCCUUGGGCCGAAGUGAUGCGGCGCGUCGGCAGGACUGACUGGACAAAGGGGCGUAGCGCCGGGCGCUCGUGCCGGGGAGGCGAGGGCUGGCGCUUGUGAGCCUGGGCGGUGCCGCUGGGGGCGGGAACGGCCUGGGAGACCCCCACGCCGUGAGAACGGCCUCGGGGUCGCCGGGGAUUCGCCAGGCCUGGGGGAACAGACCUGCUCGGGCGGCGGAGGGUCGUCAGGUUGAGGGCCCGUAGGAGCCCGACAGGGGCUUUUGCGCUUGUUCCAGCGCCGGACGAUCGGGGGCAUCGCGUAGAGACUCUUAUCCGGGCGGCCAGGUCGGCUGCCUUCGUUUCCUUUUGCGACAGGUGCUCAUUCCGUCUGUCUUGUCACCGAGGUAUGCAUCGUCCUCGCGAGAUUUGUGCACGGGAGCGGCAAGCCGAGGGUGGGCAUACGGGGUUUCCCAGAAGUGGCUCCUGAAGGGCUUGGCCUCGAGAGGUCAGUAAGCUCAAGGCCCUGUGGCUGGAAUGCUCUCUGUCGCUUUCCUGGGCUGUGACCUUGGUCAAGGCCUAGGCCUUAGCUUUCCUAACUGUAGGAGGGGGAUCAGCGUAAGGUGGCUGGCCCACAGGAAGCAGGGCCGAGCCCUUCUGUCGCAGAUAUUCUGCAACCUCGGGUCUUUUGCAUGCAUCUUCUCAGCUUGUGUGCUGUUUGUGCCUCAUUUGAGCAAGCUCAGGCUUGGGCCUUUUUGAAUCCUUGGUUUCUCUCCACGUUGAUUCCUCAGGGAAGAAGAGAGAUGCUUAGACAGGUGGCAAGGGUCACAGAAGGUGAGACUUGCUUUUUCUCGGGGGUUUCCAUCCCUGGUGACAUCCCAGAAAACAGUAAUUAUCCCUUGGGCUAACGUUGAGGGCCUUGAUCCCAGGCCAUGUCAUUUUAACUCUGUUUCCCAGGUUUUAAUCUUUUAAGCCCUGAUGUUAUUAAGCUGUGUCUGUGCUUUGUGGAAUCUGAGAGCAGCCCUCAAAUACAUCUGUGAGGAAGAUGAGGGAGGGAGCUGUGAGGGGGCUGCAGGCCCCCCUGGGAGAACUCCAUCUGCUGCAGGCUGACAACGGGCUACAGGGAGGGGCCUGGGCUCUAUUCUACUUUUGAGGAAGGAUUUCUGAAACAGCUUUGUGAUUUGGGGCCAAUGGGGCCUCUGCAGAGCAGUAACCAUCUGUAGAAGCACAAGUAAACUCAGUGGUGACACCAUUUAUGUACUACGAUGCUUUGUUUUCCUAACAAAGCCUUUUGCUUCUGUAGGUUGGGGCCUGGGGUGUGGCCUUGUCCCUGGUCCACUCUGCCCAGCCACUGCCAGGUACCUAAGUGGGUACUUCUCUGUGUCACUGUUCUCCACUCUCUGCUCCAGUUGGGCACCAUAUUGGGCUUUCUCACCACUGGUGUAGAGAGUGGAUAUGACCUAGUGGUAUUCUAGGUUUUCUUCACUGAAGCUCCUCUCCUGCAGGUGGCUGCCUGCACGGCCCAGCGCCAUGCACACACUUGUGUUCCUGAGCACUCGGCAGGUGCUCCAGUGCCAGCCAGCUGCCUGCCAGGCCCUGCCCCUGCUGCCCCGAGAGCUCUUUCCCCUGCUAUUCAAGGUGGCCUUCAUGGACAAGAAGACUGUGGUACUGCGUGAGCUGGUGCACACAUGGCCCUUCCCACUGCUCAGCUUCCAGCAGUUGUUGCAGGAAUGUGCUCACUGUAGCCGGGCAUUGCUGCACGAGCGACCCAGCACUGAGAGCAUGCAAGCUGUAAUCCUGGGGCUGACUGCUCGGUUCCACACCCCAGAAGCUGAAGCUGGCACACAUUCCCUCUGUAGGUAUGGACUUACCAGUGGGGACUUCAGGCCUGGAGUUACAAAGAGGGUUCCCUGAGGAGAGCAUAGGUUGAGGUGCAAAGUUCCAAGAGCUCUGUGUGGCAGCAGACUGUUGUUCUGGUCCCAAAGUGGCUGGGAGGGGUUGUAGGCCCUGCUCUCUCAUCCCAUCUCAGGCCAUCCCUACUUCUAGGAAGCACACACUGCGGGUGCUGGACAUGACUGGUCUCUUGGAUGAUGGUGUGGAGCAGGACCCUGGUACUAUGAGCAUGUGGGACUGCACAGCAGCUGUGGCCCGCACAUGCAUUGCCCAGCAACAGAGCAGGACUGCUGAACCUGGACCAGCCCCUAUCCCUGUGGAGGUUCGUGUGGACCUUCGGGUGAACCGGGCCUCCUAUUCAUUCCUGCGUGAGGCUCUCCGAAGCAGCGUGGGCAGCCCUCUGCGGCUAUGCUGCCGGGACCUCCGGGCUGAGGACCUGCCCAUGCGCAACACUGUGGCCCUGUUGCAGCUUCUGGACGCAGGCUGCCUGCGCCGAGUGGACCUCCGCUUCAACAAUCUGGGCCUGCGUGGCCUGUCUGUCAUCAUCCCUCAUGUGGCUCGCUUCCAGCACCUGGCCAGUCUGCGACUACACUAUGUGCAUGGGGACUCAAGGCAGCCCUCUGUAGAUGGUGAGGACAACUUCCGCUACUUCCUGGCCCAGAUGGGCCGCUUCACCUGUCUUCGGGAGCUCAGCAUGGGCUCUUCUCUCCUUUCAGGCAGGCUGGACCAGCUGCUCAGGUGAGUGGGCCCCAUCAAUGCUCUACCCUUUCCCUCCAUGGGGACACUCCCUGGGCCUACUUGUCUGUGACCCCUGUGUCCCCACAGUACCCUGCAGAGCCCCUUGGAGAGCUUGGAGCUGGCCUUCUGUGCUCUGCUGCCUGAGGACCUGCGCUUCCUGGCAAGGAGCUCCCAUGCUGCUCACCUAAAGAAGCUGGACCUGAGUGGUAAUGAUCUGUCAGGAAGUCAGCUAGUGCCCUUCCAGGGUUUGUUGCAGGCGGCAGCAGCCACACUGCUGCAUCUUGAGCUGACUGAGUGCCAGCUUGCUGAUGCCCAGCUAGUAGCCACACUGCCCACCUUGACCCGCUGUGCCAGUCUCCGCUACCUUGGCCUCUAUGGCAACCCGCUAUCCAUGGCUGGCCUCAAGGAGCUGCUGCGGGACUCAGCGGUACAGGCUGAGCUGCGCACUGUGGUGCACCCCUUCCCCGUGGAUUGCUAUGAGGGCCUGCCCUGGCCUCCACCUGCAUCUGUCCUUCUGGAAGCCUCCAUCAACGAGGAGAAGUUUGCCCGUGUAGAAGCUGAGUUGCACCAGCUGUUGCUGGCCUCAGGCCGUGCCCAUGUGCUCUGGACAACAGACAUCUAUGGGCGACUAGCUGCAGACUACUUCAGCCUGUGACCUCCUGGCUUUGGAUGAGACAGGCCAAGAGCUUUUGCUGGGACUCUGCUGGAGGCCUGACAACAAAGACUGGUCUCAGGUUUCCUGCAGAGUCUGUCUUGCUCCUGGGCACACCUUAAGCAUCCCAUGCUUUCUGCAGUGCCCUGCACCUGCUCCCUAAUGGCUGGCUGACUGUGGGCCCCGUGCUGGAUUUCAGGCCUGCACUACCCUGCUCAGUAUAGCUGCACUUGGCUCUCUGUGGAUGUACCUGGGAUCCCAGCUGUUAUCCAAGGGACACUUCCGGGCCCUUCGCAUCUCCUUACCAAGAGCGCAGCACUGUGGGGCUGAAGGUGGGGCGAGGCCUAGGUCCUGAUGCAGCCUUUGGCCUGUACCGUGUUCCCUGCCCUGGCGCUAGAGCCACCCCGCCAGCUGGCUAUGGGGCUGGAGGGUGGUGUCAAGGUACAAACGUGCAGCGUGUCUGGAGUUUGAAUCUUUGCCUGUUUAUUCUAUUCCAACUGGCCAGUGUGACUUCCCCACCUCUGUUAUAUCCCCAGCAUGGCUACUGGGAAUCAACUAGCAUCUGGCCUGCUGCCCCUCCCUCUGGCCGCGUAACCCCACCAGCACUGCAGGCCAGGGCUCUCCCCGGGCAUCGUGGACCUUCCAGGUCACGGCCCCUCGCGGCUCUGUCUGCAGGCGCCCCACAGCUUGGUGCUCCAACGCAGCUUCCACCUUUACUGAUGAGCAUGCGCUGCGCCACGCGGGCCAAUGAACGGCGCCCGCGUCAUCGGCGCGCGCCGCCGGCUCAGCAGUGGAUUUCGUAAGCGACGCGCCGUGGGAGGUGGAGUGAGGGGGGCGGCCCUUCUGGCGGUCUGCCCUCGGUAGGCGCUUCUGGCGGCCCCUCGGCGAAUAGGGGCUUAGAGCGGUCGAUGACGAACAUCUCGUGGCCGCGCUCGUCGCGCAGCUCUUCCAGCUGCGCGAAGGUGCAGGGCCCGUCCGAGUAGUCGUUGACGAACAGCGCGCCCUCUCCUGGCUGCGCGCCCGCCUUUUUCCUCCGCCGCCGCCGCCGGCAGAUCAUGGCGGCCAGCAGCAGCGCCGUGAGCGCCAGUAGCGCGAUGGCCGCCGCGAUGGCUGUCUGCGUGGCCAGGCCUAGCGCUCGAAACGCCAUACUCCCCGCCUCGUGCCUCGGGGCGCGGCCUGGGGGGCGUGGCGGCGGGGCCGGUGGCGGCUGCCGGGACGCGUUAACCAGGAGGCGGAAGGGCACGCUCGCGGCGCCUCCGGCGUUGGCGGCCUCGCACUCGUACUUUCCCGCGUGCGCCAGCGUGAUGUUGGUGAGGAAGAGCAUCCCGCUGCCGGUGUCCGGGGCGGCCUGGCCACCCAGGCCUGGCGCUCCGCCUUCCAGCUGGGCCUGCGCCUGCGGACGGUCCUCACGAGGCUGAGGCACCUUCCUCCAGGUCACCAGGGGCUGCGGGUAGCCAGAGGCUUGGCAGGCCACCCGCAGGUCCUCCCCUAGGUUGGCUGUGAGUUCCAGCGGCUCCACGUGCACAGAGGGAGGAAUGCAGAUGAGGCUACUGCCCGACACCUCCAGCAGACUCUGCAGUGCCAGACGCGGUGGCUCUGCACACGUGAUCUUCUUGUCUCUGGUGCUGAACAGUCGCUGACCCCCCUCCUUGAUCCAAGCGCCCAACCAGUGGAGGGCGCAAUCACAGCGCCAUGGGUUCUCUGUAGGCAGAUCAAGAAUACAGUUGAGGUUCUGCUGGGCCCGGCAGAAGCCCACACCCCACCUCCUAUAGCCACCUCGGUGGAGUUUCUUCUCUGAACCCCGGUUGCUGGGAAUGAGGAAGGUCUUUCACCCCACUUUAGUUCAGUGAUGCCCACACAGGUAUUCCAGCAACACUGAAACUCUAAAACAGAUGCCCUCUCCUGGAAACACCCCCAAUCCUGGUCAGCUCUUUCGCCUGCCUGCCCUUUCCUGGCCUCAAAAUGUGAAAGAACCUCAGUUCUGUUAAGUCAUUCUGGAUCGCCUACCUUUUCUGUCUUAGGCAGGUGCCUAAGUUAUGUAUCUAUCAGAACUUCAGUUCCCAGCUGCCCUUUACCAGAACUGCAGGGUGGUGGUGUGGCCCUCCAAAAUGCUACCCAAUGGUUUAUCAUAGGGACCCCCUCCACACCUGGGCCUGCUCCCUACUGAUGCCACUGAGCCCAGUUAGGGACCCCUGCCUGAGGAGUUACCUGUGAGGCGCAGGACUUGCAGGCUGGCCAAGGGCUGCAGGGCCUCACGGCUGAUGGUGCCCAGUUGAUUCCUGCUGAGGUCAAGCAGGGCCAGGGAGGAGAGCCCUGCCAGGGCCUGGUCCUCCAGCAGCUCAAUGCUGUUUUCUUGCAGGUGCAGCUCCUGCAGUCGCUGGAGUAGGGACAGCAGAUCAUCAGGAAAAAGGGCCCAGGGGAGCUAGACUAGGUUGACUUUUCUCCCCUAACAACUACUACAGCGCGCUGGAUGACUGGCAGGACAAGAAGAUCCCGCGCUUUUGGCCUCUCACCGGCAGGUGCAAGAAGGUGAAAUCCAGCAGCCGCGCCAGCUGGUUGCCAGCCAGGUAGAGUACACGCAGCUGGGCUAGGCCCGCAAAAGCCCCUCCCCGCAAGCCACGUAGCCUGUUGCCUGUGAGGGCCAGCUCCAGCAGGCGCGGUUGCGAGCGGAAAGCGCCAGACUCCAGAGCACGCAGACUGUUGUUGUGCAGGUAGAGAUGGCGAAGGGCGGCGAGUGGCGCCAGGGCGCCUGGCUCCAGACGCGCGAUGUUGUUGUCCUGCAGGAACAGCGUCUGCGGGCCGGGGGAGGGCGAAUCUUACCCCACUGCAGGAGUCUCUCGCUCCAUUGGGGCGCCCCACCGACCCCACCCGGAUGCUCACACAAGGCUCCCUCCAUCCCAUGGGCACUCGCAGCCUGCUCCAACCCGAGGCCCGGUGGCCCCACAUGGUGCCCACCUGCGUCCCUGGGGGGAUUCCCAGUGGGACGACGCGCAGCCGCAGGGCACCGCACUCAACCGUGGCGCUGUAGCAGCGGCAGGCGGCGGGGCAGCCGGCGGCGCGAGGCGGGAGCCCUGGCAGUGGCGGCAGCAGCAGCAGCCCCAGCAGCAGCAGCAGCAGCAGCAGCACAGGAGCCCCCGGGGCCAUUUCCCUAGAGAAAGGCCUGGGACUGCGAGCCUCCCCAGGGUUGGCCCCAGAUGCGAUGGAUGCACCUCCUGAAACACAGGUUGGCAGGCCACUGCUAACAUUAUAGAGCCAGCCCAAGAGCACGAGUGGAGGCCCACACAACCUGUGUCUAACUUUCACAAAGUUUUAAGUCAGUUCGUGUGCUGGGGAUUGUAAGUCAGUGGCAGAACACCUGCCUAGCAUACACGAGGCCCUGGGCUACCCUGUCUGCAACCCCCACUCCCAAUAAAGAAACUGAUGAAUAAAAUUUUCUA